rnacentral:misc_RNA from 1 species
GGACACCUUCCUCUGCUCGUUUGUGCAGUCAUGCAAGGACAGUCAAAUAAGCGGAACAGCAAGUCCAAUAUAAGGAACAGCUGAUCACAACCGUAUUAGAUACCGAGUAAGUAAGGUGGUGAUUCCACGUCUGUACACAGAUCGGCAGAGGAGUUUUUUUCAAACGGGAGGAACGAUUCUCAAGGCAAAACGAGCCAAUUCUACUGAGCCUAAUGGCUUUUUCAAGAAAUGACAUUGCAAGAUACCUUUUUGUGAUGAUAUGGAUGAUUAUAAAUGUUGCACUCUUUGCCUCAACAUACAUGAAAUAUGGCACAACGAAAAAGUAUCAUUAUUUGAGGAUUAUUGUCAAGGGUGGACUCCCUUUUGCCCGAGGUGCUGCAAUGGUGUUAAACUUCAACUGCAUGUUAAUCCUGCUAUCCAUGUGUCGUAAUAUCAUCUCUCUUAUCAGAAGUAAUCUCAAUUGUGGUUGGUGUGGAAGCAUUAUAAGCCUUUUGGACAAGAAUAUAACUUUCCAUAAGUACUGUGCUUACACUAUCUGCUUUUUCACUGUGGUUCAUAUAUGUGGCCACUGUUUCAACUUGACAAACCUUGUUGAGAGCCAAUCAAAGGCAGACACAGAGAUUGAACAGCAUCUGAGUCAGUUAGAUAACCCUUGGCUAAAUCCUAUCCGAGAAUCUGGAGUUGAUCCUGUAUCAGGAUUGUUUCAGACAGUUGCUGGGGUCACAGGUGUGGUGAUGACAUUGUCAUUAAUUCUCAUGAUAUCGUCAGCAACUGAACUGAUAAGGAGAUCCUACUUUGAGACCUUUUGGUUCACUCACCAUUUGUUUGUUGUCUUCUUUGGCUGCCUUGUUGUGCAUGGCACUGGGGAUCUUCUACGUUUUCAAACUAACAUGGAUGAGCAUGAUCCAGAAAUCUGUGAUAAUGUAAAUUACUGGAAAAAUCAUUCAACCAGCUGCUACAAAUUUAGACCACAGCUAAAAGCACCUGGAGCAAUGACUUGGAAGUUUGUGAUCUUUCCCAUGAUCCUGUAUGGUGCAGAACGGUUACUCAGAAUAUACAGAUCAUUUCAGAAGGUGACAAUUCUUAAGGUAAUAAAACAUCCAUCUAGGGUGCUUGAAAUUCAGAUGAAGAAGGAUGGAUUUAGAUGUGAAGCAGGACAGUACAUUUUUCUGAAGUGUCCUAAGAUCUCACAUCUGGAGUGGCAUCCUUUUACUUUAACAUCUGCCCCUGAGGAGUCCUACUUCAGUGUUCACAUCAGAAAUGCUGGUGAUUGGACAGACAGUCUACACAGAGAGUUUGGAGCAAAUGAUGGUGGAAUGAAAGAUAUAAGCUCCUGUCCAAGGUUGGCUGUCGAUGGCCCUUUUGGAACAUCAAGCACUGAUGUGUUCAAAUAUGAUGUCAUUAUGUGUAUUGGAGCUGGUAUUGGAGUAACUCCCUUUGCAUCAAUAUUAAAGUCUGUGUGGUAUCGUCAAAACAAAAGUUAUUCUGACCUAAAGAUCCAGAAGGUGUAUUUUUUCUGGAUCUGCCGAGAUGAAAAGGCCUUUGAAUGGUUUACAGACCUUUUAAGAUGGAAGAAAUGAAUAUGAAAAACUUUGUGGAAUAUCACAUAUAUCUCACAGGAUGGGAUACUAAAUUGGCAAUUCAGUCAAUUAUACAUCAGGGUGAAGAAGAUAACAUAACACAUUUGGAUGCUAAGACACAGUAUGGCAGACCAGAGUGGAGCAAGAUUUUUAAGGGUAUUGGGGAGAAACACAAAGG